UGGGAAACAGGUUAAUAUUCCUGUACUUGGUGUUACUGCGAAGGGGGGACGGAGAAGGCUAUGUUAGCCGGGGGACGGUGGUCUCGGUUUAAGCAUGUAGGCUGGUUAUCCAGGCAAAUCCGGAUAAUCAAGGCUGAGGUGUGAUGACGAGGCACUACGGUGCUGAAGUAACAAAUGCCCUGCUUCCAGGAAAAGCCUCUAAGCAUCAGGUAACAUCAAAUCGUACCCCAAACCG
rnacentral:rRNA from 1 species